GAUGAACGCUGGCGGCGUGCCUAAUACAUGCAAGUCGAGCGAACAGACGAGGAGCUUGCUCCUCUGACGUUAGUGGCGGACGGGUGAGUAACACGUGGAUAACCUACCUAUAAGACUGGGAUAACUUCGGGAAACCGGAGCUAAUACCGGAUAAUAUAUUGAACCGCAUGGUUCAAUAGUGAAAGACGGUUUUGCUGUCACUUCUCGAUGGAUCCGCGCCGCAUUAGCUAGUUGGUAAGGUAACGGCUUACCAAGGCAACGAUGCGUAGCCGACCUGAGAGGGUGAUCGGCCACACUGGAACUGAGACACGGUCCAGACUCCUACGGGAGGCAGCAGUAGGGAAUCUUCCGCAAUGGGCGAAAGCCUGACGGAGCAACGCCGCGUGAGUGAUGAAGGUCUUCGGAUCGUAAAACUCUGUUAUUAGGGAAGAACAAAUGUGUAAGUAACUAUGCACGUCUUGACGGUACCUAAUCAGAAAGCCACGGCUAACUACGUG
rnacentral:rRNA from 1 species